rnacentral:rRNA from 1 species
UCACUUUCAACAACGGAUCUCUUGGCUCUCGCAUCGAUGAAGAACGCAGCGAAAUGCGAUAAGUAGUGUGAAUUGCAGAAGUACCGUGAAUCAUCGAAUCUUUGAACGCAAAUUGCACUCUCUGGUAUUCCGGGGAGUAUGCCUGUUUGAGGGUCGCU